CCUACGGGUGGCUGCAGUGGGGAAUAUUGGACAAUGGGGGGAACCCUGAUCCAGCCAUGCCGCGUGUGUGAAGAAGGCCCUCGGGUUGUAAAGCACUUUCAGUGAGGAAGAACGCCUGGUGGUUAAUACCCAUCAGGAAAGACAUCACUCACAGAAGAAGCACCGGCUAACUCCGUGCCAGCAGCCGCGGUAAUACGGAGGGUGCGAGCGUUAAUCGGAAUUACUGGGCGUAAAGCGCGCGUAGGUGGCUUGAUAAGCCGGUUGUGAAAGCCCCGGGCUCAACCUGGGAACGGCAUCCGGAACUGUCAAGCUAGAGUGCAGGAGAGGAAGGUAGAAUUCCCGGUGUAGCGGUGAAAUGCGUAGAGAUCGGGAGGAAUACCAGUGGCGAAGGCGGCCUUCUGGACUGACACUGACACUGAGGUGCGAAAGCGUGGGUAGCAAACAGGAUUAGAUACCCGGGUAGUA
rnacentral:rRNA from 1 species